CCUACGGGAGGCAGCAGUGGGGAAUAUUGGGCAAUGGGCGCAAGCCUGACCCAGCAACGCCGCGUGCAGGAAGAAGGCCCUCGGGUUGUAAACCUCUUUUAUCAGGGACGAAGCACGUGACGGUUCCUGAUGACUACGCCACGGCUAACUACGUGCCAGCAGUCGUGGUAAUACGUAGGCGGCAAGCGUGCUCCGGAUUUAAUGGGUGUAAAGGGCGUGUAGGCGGGAAGGGAAGUUAGAUGUGAAAACCAUGGGCGUAACCUGUGGCCUGCAUUUGAAACUGUAUUUCUUGAGUACAGGGGAGGCAGGCGGAAUUCCUGGUGUAGCGGUGAAAUGCGUAGAUAUUAGGAGGAACCCCAGUGGCGAAGGCAGUCUGCUGGACAGCAACUGACGCUGAGGCGCGAAAGCGUGGGUAGCAAACAGGAUUAGAUACCCCAGUAGUC
rnacentral:rRNA from 1 species